UACGUAGGCCGCAAGCGUUGUUCGGAAUCACUGGGCGUAAAGGGUGCGUAGGCUGCGGAGUAAGUCGGAUGUGAAAUUUGGGGGCUCAACCUCCAACUUGCAUCUGAUACUGCUUCGCUAGAGACCUGGAGAGGAGUUUGGAAUUCUCGGUGUAGCAGUGAAAUGCGUAGAUUUCGAGAAGAACGCUCGCAGCGAAAGCGAAACUCUGGACAGCGUCUGACGCUGAGGCACGAAGGCUAGGGGAGCAAACGGG
rnacentral:rRNA from 1 species